rnacentral:lncRNA from 1 species
AUGCCCUGUGUGGGGUGGUGGCAGGAGUGGAAGCAGAGCAACUGGCAAUGCAGAGGCAAACCUAUCUGGGCUGCUGCAUUGUGGCAAGAUAUUGCUGCCGGGGUAGAGAACCUGAUUGUAAAAGUAUGCCAUGUAGAUGAUCACGUACCAAAGAAUCGGGCCACUAAAGAACAUCGAAACAACCAGCAGGUGGAUCAGACUGCUAAGAUUGAAGUGGCUCAGGUGGACCUGGACUGGCAACAUAAGGUUGAAUUAUUUCACCCUGGGCUGAAUUAUUUCACCCAUAACACCUCAGACCAUCAAGGCAGAGAUGCAACAUACAGAUGGGCUCGUGACCGAGGGGUGGGCCUGACCAUAGACACUAUUGCACAGGUUAUUCAUGAUUGUGAAGCAAUCAAGCAAGCCAAGUGGUGAAAGCCUCUUUGGUGUAGAGGACGAUGGCUGAAAUAUAAGUAUGGGGAGGCCUGGCAGAUUGAUUACAUCACACUCCCUCAAACCCGCAACGGCAAGCGCCACGUACUUACAAUGGUGGAAGCAACCACUGGAUGGCUGGAAACAUAUCCUGUGCCCCAUACCACUGCCUGGAACACUGUCUUGGGCCUUGAAAAGCAAGUCCUAUGGCAACAUGGCACCAUAGCAACAGUCAGACAAUGGGAAUCAUUUCUGAAACAACCUUAUAGACACUUGGGCCAAAAAGCGUGGGAUUGAGUGCGUAUAUCAUAUCCUCUAUCAUGCACCAGCCUCCAGGAAAGUUGAGUGAUACAAUGGAUUGUUAAAGACUACACUGAAGGCAAUGGGUGCUGGGACAUUCAAACAUUGGGAUACACAUUUGGCAAAGGCCACCUGGUUAAUCAAUACUCAGGGAUCUGCCAACCAAGCUGGACCUACCCAAUCAAACAUGUUACAUACUGUAGAAGGGGAUAAAGUUCCUGUAGUGCACGUAAGAAACAUGCUGGGGAAGACAGUCUGGGCUACUCCUGUCUCAGGCAAAGGCAAACCCAUUUGUGGGAUUGCUUUUGCUCAGGGACGUGGAUGCACUUGGUGGGUAAUGCAAAGGAAUGGGGAGGUUCGAUGUGCACCUCAAGGGGAUUUAAUACUGGAUGAGAAUAGCCUGUGAGUUGAAUUGUAUUAUGUUAAUUAUUAUAUAAUACUGUAUGUCAUCACUACCAUGAUUGCUAUAUGUCAAUGUCCUAUUAAUGGUAUCACAGUAACAACCAUGCAGAUAAUGACAAAUUAAUUUUGAUAGAAUUGGACAAGCACAGUGGUGUGAUGGAACGAGAAUGGGCUUCAGCAUGUGACGAUCCAACAUCACACACCAUCUCUUCUGCCCUGAAAGACUGCUGUGGCAGAUGGAGCCCAUAGUCAGUCAUGGACUACACAAACUCAGUGGACAUUUUAUAUACAUAUAUUAAAA